UUACCACCUUGACAUGAAGGAGACUCCUUCGGGCACAGGUGCUGCAUGGCUGUCGUCAGCUCGUGUUGUGAAAUGUUGGGUUAAGUCCCGCAACGAGCGCAACCCUAUCUUGUUUGCCAGCAAUUGGGACUCCAGGAGACUGCCGGUGAUAACCGGAGGAAGGUGGGGACGACGUCAAGUCAUCAUGGCCCUUACGGUGGGCUACACACGUGCUACAAUGGCAUACAAGGGGCAUAGCGAUAUGAGCAAUCCCAAAAUGGUCGUAGUCCGGAUUGGAGUCUGCAACUCGACUCCAUGAAGUCGGAAUCGCUAGUAAUCGUGAUCAGAUGCACGGUGAAUACGUUCCCGGGCCUUGUACACACCGCCCGUCACACCAUGGGAGUGGGUGAAAGAA
rnacentral:rRNA from 1 species